GGGGCCUAGCCAGAAAUGUAUUACAUGGGAAGUUGGUAAACACAUUGUAACGGAAUAAGAAUAUGUAGCUGCACUGAAAAUGUAAGAUAGAUGUCGAAAACUUAAAAACGUUCUCCCAAUGUUUUUAUUAUACUGUAAGUUAACUCCCCGUUUCAGCUCGAAUUAGAAUAGAAUGAAACUGAGGGCAGAGUGCUCGGGGACGUUGAACUGCCUCGGGAUAAGCACUUCGACGUCACUUAAAGUUAAUAAGGUCAGUUCAUUACAUGGUAGAAUGAUAGAAAACUGGUUGACCGACGUCCGAGACAGAAUAGGCCUACUAUGUUGAAGAUCAUAGACAUGUUACGACUAGUAUUAUUUAUAUUUAGAAUAACUAAUAAUGCUAUGACAAUAUAUAAAUGGCACAUCAAUCUUCUGCUGAUCUAUUUUUCUCCCUUGCUGGUGAUAGGGUUGACGCCAUCUUCUGUAUCCUUUCCUCUAUACUUGUUUCCUCUCUCCCCUCUCUCUCUAAUCCUCCGGCUCUCACCCUCCUCCCCUUGUCGCCACUCUUUUCCUUGUCACCUCUCCUCAUCUCUUCUUUCCUUUGUAAUUUUAAUCCAUAUAGUAAAAUUUCUAAAGAAGAAGCCCAUAGAAUGUAGGGGCCAGGUCUACACAUUACACUACUAACCUCCUCAGCCUACACUACUGCUCCAGAAACACGUCUGAGAAGUUUGGAAGUCUUUUAGCCUGAUUAUGCAGCACUCAUAAAUAGGAUCACAAAGGUGACGAACGCGAGUCGCAACAUGCCAUCAAUUGCAUUAUAUUUUAUCUAUCUAAAUCUAUGCCAAUAUUACCUUUCUAGAAAUAUAAAUGUAAACGUUUAACAUACAGUAAAACAUUUAUUCUAGCAGGUCAAAAGGUCUUGUUGCUAACCCCCCCCCCCCCCAAAAAAAGAAACUUCAGGUUAACUAAGCAUAAUAUUUGCAUAAUGAAUAAAAGGUUAAAAAAUAACAUUAAGAUGUUGUGUAUUUAAUUAAAACCGCAGGACUGUAAGUGAUCAUUUGGACAUGCAUGGAAAAGUAAGUAAAUAUAUUCAUAUAGUACAAGUACAAUACAAGGACAAUUCUGAAAUGGGAGUGUGAAAAAAACAUUAAAACACUCAGGGCAACAUUCACGUUGUUGCGUUCUCAGUAAAUUGUUAUUUUCAAAAGAAUUCUAGUCUUUGUUAAUAUGUCAAGAACGCUUUUAACAAUUUGCAUAUGACCAAUUAAAAAAAACAUAACUUAUAAUAGCUGACUUAAACUGACAGUCAAAAGGCAUUGCAGAAAUAAUCUCAUACGAUAUAAACUAUUGGGAUAAAAUAGGUCUGAUAGACAGGUCUAACAACAUUACUGAGUUGGGAAAAUGAAAUGCUUGUGUUAAACAAAUUAAGUUUCUAUAGUCAUUAGUACAAUGAGAUAGAGUUCAAGAGAUACAACAGCAAAAUGUAUAGUGCUUAACAUAACACACAACGAAAGACAUACAAGAUGAAAAAGAAAAGUGCCAAUGACAAUCACUAAAGCUAACUAUAGUUUGCAUUUUCAUUUCAGAUGAACCAUUGUCUUCAAAGAACAACCAGCAAAAUAUAGUGCUAGCACAAGUCUCUACAUUGUAUGAAGAGUGAAAUCCAGAAAAAUCUACUUGAACAGAAAAAAAACGCCACAAAAAACGUGCAUACUUUUAGUGCAUAAAGACAUGUCCUUAUGUUCAUGAACAGAAAUCCUACUUCUGCAAUGUUUCACAUUGCAAAUAAAUCACUGAUAUCGGAUAGCUCUGGUGGAGAAACUUUACUGAUUACAAAACCAAAAAUUCCUUGUAUGGGAGGUUUUAUCGACAUGGUAGUCCCGAUAAAAACGACCAUGUACCAUGACAGCAAGGGCCGUUAAUAUAUAUGUAUAUGUCUUCGCAUUAUUCCCUCACUAGGAGGGCAGACAAGUAUUCAUCACAUCAUUCAGGGGUUAUUUAAAUGAAAUUAACCCCAGUUCAAAAUGUGUAUUCUGUAUCCGACUGCAAUGGAUUUUCAUUCAGAAUAGAAAACAUCCAAUAUUGACAAUUUAUUUCAUUCAUAAGGCUGUUAUUCAUGCAGGAAAAUGUAUUUUUGAAUGGGGUAGUCGGAGGCACCAAUGUGAUUUUAAGGCAAAAUGAUGAAUCUCUGAGUGUGAGUGAAAGAGCAGUGAUAAAGAUUGUGAGCUCUGAACGCUAAAAACAACAGUCAAGGUAUUUUUUCCUGUAGUGGAAACUAGGGGUGUGCACGGGUACACGUGUAACCGGUUAGUAAAUCAUAACCGUUUAGGAAAAAUAAGUAAACGAAAACUAAAUCAAAAACGCUGCGCCAUUGUUUCAAUGGGAAUCGCGACGGUCCAUACUUUCAACAUAAUUUACAUAUUUAUAAUUCGAAAUUCGUCCCAGCCUUUAUACCACGGAUACUCUAGGGUCUAUAGCAUAUAACCGCUUUUUCUGAUUACAGUUUAAUGUAACAGUAAGCUGACAACAUCCUAAUUAACACUGCAACUGCAAAUUAACCGCACGGAGAUAACCAUGGCAACCGGUCAAACAAAGGUUAUUUUUGCAAUCAUUCUGCUCGCGCAUCCGCCUUGUUGAUAAACAAAUAUCCCCCUAUAGCGCGACUGCGGUUCACUUUAAAAAAAUAAUAUUUUUUUUCAUUAAUAAAAAAAAACGGUUAACCGUGUACACGAAAAAAAAAUAAAAGGGGUUGUGUAAACCGUUUACAAUUUUUUGUAACCGUUCACACCCCUAGUGGGAACCAGACAGGACAGGGAGCUCUCUAGAGAUGAUGGGAGAUCUGAUGGGUAGUCACUAUGGCUUAGUUAACAUUUGGUUUGUUCACUGAGAGGUUAAGGGCUGUGUUACACCUCAGCAAGCAGCCAGAAGUGUAAGGUGAGAGGUCACACAGAGAAACGUCAAUUCAUAGUCUCACAAAUAUAGAAAUGGCAUACAUUUAAAAAACAAUAAAUACCAUUAAUAACCUGGUGUAGAGAGGGAGAGUGAGAGCUGGAAAGCGGGUAUGUGAGUGACACAACAGAUUAAUUCCCUUCAGACUUGACAAAAAACAGUAAAAUAUAUU